UCUUACGAAGAUCCGAGUCGAAGAGAUUUGUACGGAAACGGUGGCAUUUGGACUGAGCUUGCGAGACGCGACGCUGUGAAUUCUUCUUUUAGCCGGCGAAUUCGUUUCGAGCUUCUUCUGGCGGGAACAGCUAGGCAAUCGAAAGAACGAAAGGGAAGAUGUCCCUCGCUUCAUCGACGUUUGCACUCGAUGUCCAUCGCACAAACUCCUAUAAAACCGAGAAAGACCAAAGACCAAAGGGAUCCAGGUCCUUACGUUGCACAUGACCGGCGGCGUAAGACGGUCGUUCGUCGUUUAAAGCGGCGGCGAGGUAAAUGUCCCGCGUUUGUCAGCGGUGAGCCUGAAAAUACCAAGCACCGUUCGCCGUGGGCUAGUCGAAGGCUGGCAAGGGAGGACGUAUACCGCAGAAGGAGAACCGUGGCAAGUCGCGAGGACAGAGACGGAGCUCAGCCGCUGCAGAUUACUUAGUCUGUUUCUAGGUGUACGGAUGGCUGUUGGUGUUCUCGGGUGUGAAAUGGAACGAACGCACCGACCAGAUUCCGUUGAUCAUGAAUCGCAGAAAUGUUUUUGGUAGAGAAUGGACGAAAUUGUCGGUGUUUCGUGGGAAAGCGAAGACGAAAGAAGCUUUGAAACGGUGUUGGAUGUAAGGAUAUGUUGCGUGAGAGAGAAAGAGAUACCGAGAGUGCAUAUCGUGUAUUGUUGUGCUACGUUAAUGAACUUUAUUAUAAAAUUAUUAAA